GCCAGCUGGUUGGUUAGCUGCCUGCUGCUUUCACAGCUUGCAUUAGCUGCCAUAGACUUGAAUCACAGAGUGCACUACAAAGGACAAUGCCCCACUUUAGUGCCUUUAAAUCGAACGGGUGAAGCGCUUGAGUUUAAAGGCAAUUGGUUUCAGUAUGCAGUGCAUCCCAAUUAUUUGCAAGAUAAAUGCAUUAGGCAACGAUUCGACAAUCAUCCCAUGUGGCAGAAAUUUGCCUAUACAGAUAACAAGCAGUUUAUAGUGCAAUAUUAUUGCUUUGAAGCUAAGUCUGCAUGCCAAGCACGCCAACAUGAAAGAUCAAUCAGCAUUUUCGUGCGUAGCCGGCAGCCAACACAGAGCACAAUUGCAGCCGUAACAAAUGCCUUGAAGCGUAAUUUCAAAUUUCCACUUAGCUUAUUAAAUUAUACGGAUUAUUCGUUUUGCUCCGAGAUCGAAACACAACGCGCCGUCUUUAGAGCUU